rnacentral:rRNA from 1 species
GACGAACCGGCCGAACGUUAUUCGGAAUCAUUGGGCUUAAAGGGUGCGUAGGCGGUGCGGUAAGUUGGGUGUGAAAUCCCUCGGCUCAACCGAGGAACUGCGCUCAAUACUGCCGUGCUUGAGGAAGACAGAGGCGAGCGGAACUGAUGGUGGAGCGGUGAAAUGCGUUGAUAUCAUCAGGAACACCAGUGGCGAAAGCGGCUCGCGGGGUCUUUUUUGACUCUGAGGCACGAAAGCUAGGGUAGCGAACAGG